UUAGAUACCCGCGUAGUCCUGGCCGUAACGAUACUCGCUAGGUGUCGGCCACGGUGCGACCGUUGUCGGUGCCGUAGGGAAGCCGUGAAGCGAGCCACCUGGGAAGUACGGCCGCAAGGCUGAAACUUAAAGGAAUUGGCGGGGGAGCACCACAAGAGGUGGAGGCUGCGGUUCAAUUGGACUCAACGCCGGAUAACUCAUCGGGAGCGACAGCAGUAUGAUUGCCAGGUUGAUGACCUUGCUUGACGAGCUG
rnacentral:rRNA from 1 species